rnacentral:rRNA from 1 species
AUUGAACGCUGGCGGCAUGCUUUACACAUGCAAGUCGAGCGGUAACAGGCCUUCGGGUGCUGACGAGUGGCGAACGGGUGAGUAAUGCAUCGGAACGUACCCAGAGGUGGGGGAUAACGCAGCGAAAGCUGUGCUAAUACCGCAUGUGAUCUGAGGAUGAAAGCGGGGGACCGAGCAGCAAUGUUUGGCCUCGCGCCUUUGGAGCGGCCGAUGUCGGAUUAGCUAGUUGGUGGGGUAAAGGCCUACCAAGGCGACGAUCCGUAGCUGGUCUGAGAGGACGACCAGCCACACUGGGACUGAGACACGGCCCAGACUCCUACGGGAGGCAGCAGUGGGGAAUUUUGGACAAAGGGCGCAAGCCUGAUCCAGCAAUGCCGCGUGCGGGAAGAAGGCCUUCGGGUUGUAAACCGCUUUUGGCAGGAACGAAACGGUGUCCGCUAAUACCGGGCGCUAAUGACGGUACCUGCAGAAUAAGCACCGGCCAACUACGUG